ensembl:lncRNA
GGCCAAGCAAGUAGAACUGGGUAAAGUACAGUUCAAGAAUUUGAAAUGAAGGAUGACAGGUCUAAAACGGAGCAUAGAAAUCACUGAAGAACCACUCUGCUAUCAGCAUUGCAGAUCAUAAGCCUUUGGUUUUGCUGUUGUGUAUAAGGAAAGCCAGUUAUCCAAGGAACCUUGUAACUGUCUGCCGCUGAAGAAGGUACAAGGAUCUAGGACUCACCUGAGGUUUUCAACAGACUGAAAAACAGAAGAGAGUGAAAACUGUCAUAAGACGUGGAAAAGUUUUGAGAUGGGGCUUUGCAGUUUCUACAGGCGGGCAAUUGAAAAGAUAGUGAGUCAAAAGAAAAAGGAGUAGAUAACCAGCGUUGAGAUGGAUGUCAGUGGCAGAGAAAUUCUUCAGAAUAUGCCUCCACACCCUCACAGCACACAGAGCCUUUUGUAAAUAGCAUAUACUGCACAAUCCCUCUUCCUCACUACACACAGACAGAUUGUACGAUCCGUCCCAGCCAACCAGGACAACCAUUACGUUUUUCCAUGAAUAGAAUCCUUAUUGAACAAUCUUUCUGAAUGAAUUCACCUAGUUCUGGUAACUUUAUUCCAACCUAGCAAACAUCACUUUUAUAAAGUCCUUGUAUAAGUCUUAGCUGAAGUUAUGUAAUAAUGAAUCUAGAUCCAACAGCUAAGGGGACUGAUUUUUACAGCUAGGUCAGUAAGAGGGAGAAGAUGAUGACGUAUGUUUUGGUGGCUGCAAUACAGUCUAAACAGUCAGCAAGCCAAGGUAAAUAGUUUUAGUCUGGCUUUGGUCUGCUCUUCCUACCUGCACCUGCUGAAAGACUAAUUGAGGUGCCGUAUGUGAAAUUUUAGUACCCAAUGCGCACUAUUCUUCUGUUCUGAAGUCAAUGUGAUAUUGUAAAAUACUGACAUAGCUAUUAAGAAACAAAACACUCAUUCUUGUCACUGGAGAUUUUCUGAUUUGUUUCUGUUGUGUGGGUUGCACAUAUAUACUGCAUAUAUACUGUCUUAAACAUUAAAAAGCUAACAAUAAAGACAAAACUACACUUUCUUUUUCCUUUUUUUUUUUUUUAAUAUAUGUCCAUCUUUACAUGUAUUUUCUUCUUACUUGCUAAUCAGACUCCUAAACAGAAUUUUACAUAGCCAUAUUCUACUCUCCAAGUUCCUAAAGAGAGUGACUGAGUGAAAGAGGGCUAAUGCUCCUGGCAGGUUUCACUGAGUUUCGUGUAUCUUUACAUCCACAUUCGUAUGACUCAGUUCAUAGUCUAUACAGUAUCUUGAAAGUUCUAUUUUGAAGAAAACUUUCCUGAAAAAUAAUGCAACAACCACAGAACCCCUAGUACCAAGUUUUAAGUACAUAUGAGAUAAAACAUUGCCAUAUGAGCAGUUUUUCAGUCCAGAAAUUUUUUCUGCCCAUAGUGAUGCUCACUGACACCAUGGCAUGAAUUUCUCUACAGCUAUAUCUAGGAGUCCAGAAUAGACACCCAUGGUCAGAAAUGAAUGUUUUUCAUCCUAAAACAAAAUAUUAGGGAAUUCACAGUUUCCUACCAAGGUACUUCACGGUAUCUAGGUGUCUUGGUGUACACCAGGUUGGUCAUGAGUCAGCAGUGUGUCCUUGUGGUCAAGAAGGCCCAUGGUAUCCUGGGGUGCACUAAAAAGAGCAUGGCCAGCAGAUCAAGGGAGGUGAUUCUCCCCCUCUGCUCUGCCCUGGUAAGGCCACAUCCAGAGUGCUGAGUCCAGUUCUGGGCUGCUCAGAACAAGAAAGACAGGGAACUACCAGAAAGAGCCUAGUGGGGGGCUGUAAAGAUUAUGAGCAGGCUGAAACAUCUCCAUUAUAAAGAAAUGCUGAGACCUGAGUCUGUUCAGUUUGGAGAAGACUGAGAGCGGAUCUUAUCAAUCCUUAUAAAUAUGUAAAGAGCGGGAGUCAAAUGGAUGAAGCCAGGCUCUUUUUAGCGGUGCUCAGCAACAGGACAAGGGGAAGUGGACACAAACUGGAACAUGGGAAGUUCCAUCAAAACAUGAGGAAAAACUUCUUUACUUUGAGGGUGACAGAGCACUGGAACAGGUCACCCAGAGAGGUUGUGCUGUCUCUUUAUCUGGAGAAAUUCAGAACCCACUUGGACACUUUCCUCUGCAACUUACUGCAAGGAACCUGCUUUAGCAGGAGGUUGGACUAGCUGGUCUCCAGGGGUCACUCACAAGCCCUACAGUUCUGUGAUUCUGUAAUCUUUGGAAAGCUCCAAUAAGAUAAGAUUACGAAUACACCUUUAGGUAGGAUCUAUUGUGCAAUAACGUGAACAUAAACCAGAAAUAGAUCUUCUAGAAGUUGGUACUGCAAAUAAGGGCAUUUCUUCUCCAAAUUCUUCCUCUCGCACUACUUCACAUUUCUGUUGCAGCCUUACUGCCAUAGCAAAAUCAUUACAAAUCUGCAGAAGUAGAAGACAUUUUAGAUUUCCUUCUGAGUAUUCUUGCAAAUAAAGGCACCAGUUCCAGGCUGGAAGAUCAGUUUGUCAUUUCUGCCUACUCAAAACAUUCUUGUUGAUUUAUUUUCUGAGGGGGGAUAAGGAGCAAGGGAAUCCAGCAGUUAUUUUAAAGAAACUAGUAACUGUAAGGAUCAUUUUGAAAUUAUUCUUGACAUUUAAGGAUUGUGGUACCUUUCAGGAAAUUCAGUAGUGUGGGCUGAGAAUCUGCUGCCGCUGCCUAUGCACUGUGUUACCUAUGCAUGUCUCAUAACAAAUAAAAUGUGCCUCCUGAGGCCACUGAAAGUUUUUGCAAACAAGGUGACCUGACUAUUGGAUAAAUGUCAAGUGAAAUACUUGCAAUGCAAUUCCACAUAUCAGUAACUAUAUCACAUAUUAUGUUUGGUAAGAAAAAUUGUUUUAGAAGAUAUUUGUUAUAUGUAUGUUAUAAAAGAGAAGAGCUUUUUAAUAUCUCUCAGUAAAUCAUUCCCUUUGUGUCACAACCAUUACUUUGCCAUAUAGUAGAGUUAUGAUGUUAAGUUUCACUCUGAAUUGCAAUGAGCUGAACACUGAAUAAUUUCUCUUUAAAAGUUGUCCAUUGUCUUGUCUUCCAUGGUAUACCUAGGAAUUUGGCUUAGUUAUAGCUACAUAUUAUGAAGUAGGGAUCACAUAUGAUCUGCCAGCUUGCUCAUUAUUAUAAAGUCACUAACAAGGGAGUAUUCACUAUGUUUUCUCUAGCUACAGAAAACAUUAUGUUGCUUGCUAUUUCAUAACAGGGACAGGUUAUCCACCACCUCUCUGGGCAACCUGAGAGACAACUCACUACCUUCUCAGUGAAAAACUUCCCCCUGAUAUGUAAACUAAAUCCCUCCUCCUUUGAUUUAAAAUCAUUUUCCCUUGUCUUAUCACUAUCUACCAGCAUCAAAAGUUGAUUUUCCUCCUGUCUGUGGUCUCCCUUUAAAUAUUGGAAGUCCUCAAUGAGGACAUGCCCAGCUCCCUCAGCCUGCCUUCAUAGGAGAGGUGGUCCAGCCCUCUGAUGAUCCUGGUGGCCCUCCUCUGGACCCUCUCCAAAAGUUUCACAUCUUUCCUGUGCUGGAGCCCCCAGACUGUCUGCAGUACUCAAGAUGGGGCGCCACAAGGGCAGAGUAGAGGGGAACAAUACUCUCUGUCACUAUGCUGGCCACCCAUCUUUUAAUGUAGCCCAAGAUACAGUUGGCCUAUGGGCUGCAAGCACACACUGCUGGCUCAUGUUAAGUCUUUCAUCUACCUGGACCUGUUAAGUCCAUGUCUUCUUCUCCCAGUCUGUCAUUUCUUCUCCUGGUUUGUAACGAUAGAUCUGUAAUGCUCGUAUUCAUUCCUUUCAGACAAGUAGAGAACACAUAUAUAAAAAUUGUACAUAGAAAAGUAUCCUGAAUGAGCUGGUCAGCAUAUGCAUGGAAAAUUUAAGAGCACAGCUGGUACACAUUGGUUUGACACCUUGCGUCUCCUGAAGUACUUCUUUGCAUAUAUUAGGCACAACAGAUCUGUUUGGAUCCUCUUCCUAAGAAUGUGAGUGAAACAUACCUGUACUGUUCUGGAAGAAGUACCUAGGAGAAGAGAGAUAUCUGAUGCUUGUUUCUCCUUCUCAAAGAAAGGAUUUUUAAGGAGAAGACACAGAGCAGAACCAAGUGCUUCUGGCAUACUGCUUAACCACUGGAAAUAUUUUCAUUAUGAGUCACAGGUCUAAUCAAGAUUUUUUUUCUAGAUUGAAAAUAAAAUUCUAUGUAAGACUUGGGAAGGAAAAACAUUUGUAAAUACUGUUAGAAAAACUGACUUUCAGCCUCUUGAUUGAUAUGAGUCAGGCCCACUGGAUUAAGAAAACACAGAAUGCCUCAGAGGGACAUGAAGACAUUUUGCUACAUUUAGAAAUGUUCACAUUUUCUUCUUAUCAUUGAUUAACAUAAGAUCUCAUCUGAGGAUUAUGACUGAAGUUCCAGAAAGUUAUACAGCUGCCAAGUCAAGUCAGCAUGCUUGAAUAGGAGUUCUUUCACAGGG